GAUGAACGCUGGCGGCGUGCCUAAUACAUGCAAGUCGAGCGAACGAACGAGAAGCUUGCUUCUCUGAUGUUAGCGGCGGACGGGUGAGUAACACGUGGAUAACCUACCUAUAAGACUGGGAUAACUUCGGGAAACCGGAGCUAAUACCGGAUAAUAUUUUGAACCGCAUGGUUCAAAAGUGAAAGACGGUCUUGCUGUCACUUAUAGAUGGAUCCGCGCUGCAUUAGCUAGUUGGUAAGGUAACGGCUUACCAAGGCAACGAUGCAUAGCCGACCUGAGAGGGUGAUCGGCCACACUGGAACUGGGCCACGGUCCAGACUCCUACGGGAGGCAGCAGUAGGGAAUCUUCCGCAAUGGGCGAAAGCCUGACGGAGCAACGCCGAGUGAGUGAUGAAGGUCUUCGGAUCGUAAAACUCUGUUAUUAGGGAAGAACAUAUGUGUAAGUAACUGUGCACAUCUUGACGGUACCUAAUCAGAAAGCCACGGCUAACUACGUG
rnacentral:rRNA from 1 species